rnacentral:rRNA from 1 species
GACAGAGGUGCCGAGCGUUAGGCGGAAUCACUGGGCUUAAAGCGUGUGUAGGCGGGCCGUUAAGUGUCUUGUGAAAUCCCCCGGCUCAACCGGGGAAUUGCUGGGCAUACUGGCGGUCUUGAGCGAUCUAGGGGCAGAUGGAACAAGUGGUGGAGCGGUGAAAUGCGUAGAUAUCACUUGGAACGCCAAAGGUGAAGACAGUCUGCUGGGGAUCUGCUGACGCUGAGACACGAAAGCCAGUGGAGCGAACGGG